rnacentral:lncRNA from 1 species
AAUCUUCUCCUUCUCUAUGACCUCGAAAAGCUAAUCCUUGUCGCAAUAAGUAUCUCGAAACAUCAGCAGAAGCAUUUAAUCUGAUUCGAUACUCAUUUUUCAUCGCAUUAGUCUUCUUAUACAUAGCAUGUACUAUGGAUUGACCUUGAUUCAUCAAAUCAUCACACUUCUUGACAGCAUUAUUGUGAGAACUGUUAAGUUCUCCUACAUGGAAAGAUAACCUAUCAGGCUUAUGCCAAUUCGAGAAUCCAUCCCUCACAAAUCCAGGAUACGCAUCAUCUCUAAACAAGUAGCAACACAAACAAUAAACUUUUUCCUCCAAUACACUAUACUCUAGCCAAUUACCAUACAGACCAAACCAAGCUGGAUUGAAUC